GGAAGGGUUUGGGAUGAACUAGGGAUAGACAAGAUCACUGUAGUGGGAUUUGAUGCUUUUCCACUUUGAUUUGAGACGUAAAUAUCAGAUAUUUUAUUUUUUCAUAUUUUUUGGUAAUAUAAUCGAUGAUUUUUGGGUUUUUGGUUGUUCUCAAGUAGGAUUUUAGGGAUUGUGUAUUUUUUUUAUGAAAUCAUGAUAAAUCUAUGAUUUUAGA
rnacentral:lncRNA from 1 species